UACGUAGGGUGCAAGCGUUGUCCGGAAUUAUUGGGCGUAAAGAGCUCGUAGGUGGCCUGUCGCGUCGGCUGUGAAAACUCGGGGCUCAACUCCGAGCUUGCAGUCGAUACGGGCAGGCUAGAGUUCGGCAGGGGAGACUGGAAUUCCUGGUGUAGCGGUGAAAAUGCGCAGAUAUCAGGAGGAACACCGGUGGCGAAGGCGGGUCUCUGGGCCGAUACUGACGCUGAGGAGCGAAAGCGUGGGGAGCGAACAGG
rnacentral:rRNA from 1 species